GAUGAACGCUGGCGGCGUGCUUAACACAUGCAAGUCGAACGGAAAGGCCCAGGCUUGCUUGGGUACUCGAGUGGCGAACGGGUGAGUAACACGUGGGUGAUCUGCCCUGCACUUCGGGAUAAGCCUGGGAAACUGGGUCUAAUACCGGAUAGGACCACUUCUUGGAUGUUGUGGUGGAAAGUUUUUUCGGUGUGGGAUGGGCUCGCGGCCUAUCAGCUUGUUGGUGGGGUAAUGGCCUACCAAGGCGUCGACGGGUAGCCGGCCUGAGAGGGUGUACGGCCACAUUGGGACUGGGAUACGGCCCAGACUCCUACGGGAGGCAGCAGUGGGGAAUAUUGCACAAUGGGCGCAAGCCUGAUGCAGCGACGCCGCGUGGGGGAUGACGGCCUUCGGGUUGUAAACUCCUUUCGCUAGGGACGAAGCGUUUUGUGACGGUACCUGGAGAAGAAGCACCGGCUAACUACGUG
rnacentral:rRNA from 1 species